CUGCUCAAAUGUUUUUUAAAUUGCUGUGGUAUUUUGACUAUACAAAGGUAUUGAAAUAAGGUUUUAAUUGAAUGCUAAAAGAAUGGAAUAUCAAAGAAUAACUUUCUUAAAAUUAAAAAUUGAAAUUUUUUUAAUUUGUGUAAAAACAAUUAUAAAAAUUAAAGACAAGAAGACCCUAAGAAUUUUUAAAAUUUAAAUUAAUACAUUUUUGUUUUAAUUAAAUUUUAACUGGGGCGGUUAAAAAAUAUUAAAAACUUUUUAAUUUUGAAAAUGACCCAUUAUUAAUGAAAAUAUGAUAAAAUACUCUAGGGAUAACAGCGUUAUAUUUUUUGAUAGAUCAUAUUGACAAAAAAGUUUGCGACCUCGAUGUUGGAUUAGGAUACUUUUUUAAUGAAGAUAUAAAAUAAGAAGUUGUCACCUACGGCA
rnacentral:rRNA from 1 species